ACAUUGCAAGCUGUGGCUGCCUGCCCUGAGGGGAAACCCUGUAAGGUUGGUCGUCCAGGCUUCACCAUGUGCUCGUGUGUUUGCUAUGAGGUUUGAAAUAGGGUUCCAGCUACUUUCAGGAGUUCACCCUGUUUCCUGCUCGUGUGGAUAGCUUCACUAUCUUUUCUGGACAAAUUUGUUUGAGAGACACAUUUUCAUUCCCUGCCCCGCACUUCAAUAUUCUGUACUAUUGAGGUCUGUUCUCAGAGCAGUCCUGAACACAGAACCAGACCACAGAAGCAUCUGAGGACAAUCGGUCAAAGCCACCAAACUUCAAGAAGAGGGGGCAGCAACAACAGACUGUAUCUCACAGCCACAGCCAAGAAAGAAAGAACUCUCCAACAAACAAGCCAGCAACUGCAACCAAAAACCUCCAUUUGGGACACAUGUGUGUGAGCAAGUCUCUGUGACUCUUUUUAUUUUGCAAAUUCUGUUUGUGUUAAGCAAGAUAAACAUCAAAGUGCAAAUGUGUCAUUUAA